rnacentral:ncRNA from 1 species
ACAAGGAAGGGCGUAGCAAGCGAUGAAAUGCUUCGGGGAGUUGAAAAUAAGCAUAGAUCCGGAGAUUCCCAAAUAGGUCAACCUUUUACCUGCUGAAUCCUUGAGCAAGCAAGAGACAACCUAGCGAACUGAAACAUCUUAGUAGCCAGAGGAGGGUGAAGACACAAAUUUG